CAAUCGACAACGGACCCGCCGCACCGCUAGACCAUCCCCACGUGGUGCGUCCCGGCCGAUUUGGCGUUGAAUCCAAACAGACAGCGCUCGCCCCCACUUCUGGCGCCGUCGCCCUGUCACAAGAGCCGGUCGCACCUCUGAUCGCCGGCGGAUUUCAGCAUUGCAAUCUAUGGAGGCGUGCCCUCGCUGUUAUACCAGCAACCUCAAGAAUCACUGGAAACAGGAACCAGUCUUUCACAAGCACUCUCCUCAACGGGCGAAUCUGCACAGAAGCAGGAGCGGUCUGGUCGGUGACGCCUUCUACGAAUGCCAGUCUAUCGGAGAGAUUGUUGUUGUGGUUCUCGACGGAUCUGCUUCGAUGAGCUGACGGUAUGACUGACUGCAAGUAAUUGAGGUGGAGAGGGUGCGCGGCUGCCGUGGCUUCGUCUCUAGGCCGGUCUGCACCCUAGUGCCCUAAAUUUGAAAUCUCUCACUAACGAUGCCAUGUUUUCCACUAGUAGAGUAGUUUCAUAAAUUAGAUUCGUAUUUUCUACUUACUGAAGUACUAUUUCCACAAUUUUAGAGAAGUAUUUUAACAAUUUUGAGUAAUAUUUUUCACAACAUAGAGUAGUAUUUUAUUCCUACUCAAGUAGUACUUUCCACAAUUUAGAGAAAUAUUUUUAUAAUUUUGAGUAGUACUUUUUAUAAUAUGGAGUAGUAUUUUUUAUGCUUUAUAGUAGUUCAAAACUUGUGACUCAUGAGACCAUGAGGUCAUGCUGCCCAUUUGUGCAGGUAGCGUACAUGUCAGUGCCCUCUGCAGGGGAUUGAUGCAUGAUUCUUAAGGCGGAAAUCAAAUAGCAUACAGUUGUUUUUUGCAAGAUCUGAAACCAAAUCCCCAAUUCCUUUUGGCUGCCGAUUCAUAACAAUUCUUUUAUGUUUAGAAUUGAUCUCGAAUUUUGAUAUACUACAAUUCUGAACCUUUUUAUUUCACGCAUGGAAGUUGUUAUUCCAUACAUGAGUAUCAUGCCUAGAAGUAAUUUUAAAUGUUCAGAGAAGUAAUGCAUAUAUUAGAGUAGUCAUAUUUGAUCCCUUCCAUUGUUGUACUCUGAUCAAGACUAAUUAUAAAUGUUUAAGGUAAUUCA